GUUAUCAGCCCAAAAUGCUAAUCCUUCUGUAUAAAAGGCAAACUAAAUCAGUUGCGGACACAGAUCCAUUUAAUACUGCAACUAUGUUGAAAUACGUUAAAGUUGCUGCUGUUGCUGCUGUUGUUCUAAGCAGUCUUCUUAUGACUGCUUAUGCACAAGGACAAGGACAACAACAAGGACAGCAAGGACAAGGACAAUAAAUGGAAUGAAAAGCGAAAACUUCAUAUCAUAUAAUACGAGAAUUUGUGUGGAAUAAAAUAUUAUGAAAGCAAUAACAUAA